rnacentral:rRNA from 1 species
GACGGACGCUGGCGGCGUGCUUAACACAUGCAAGUCGAACGGAAAGGCCCUGCUUUUGUGGGGUGCUCGAGUGGCGAACGGGUGAGUAACACGUGAGUAACCUGCCCUUGACUUUGGGAUAACUUCAGGAAACUGGGGCUAAUACCGGAUAGGAGCUCCUGCUGCAUGGUGGGGGUUGGAAAGUUUCGGCGGUUGGGGAUGGACUCGCGGCUUAUCAGCUUGUUGGUGGGGUAGUGGCUUACCAAGGCUUUGACGGGUAGCCGGCCUAAGAGGGUGACCGGCCACAUUGGGACUGAGAUACGGCCCAGACUCCUACGGGAGGCAGCAGUGGGGAAUAUUGCACAAUGGGCGGAAGCCUGAUGCAGCAACGCCGCGUGCGGGAUGACGGCCUUCGGGUUGUAAACCGCUUUCGCCUGUGACGAAGCGUGAGUGACGGUAAUGGGUAAAGAAGCACCGGCUAACUACGUG